rnacentral:rRNA from 1 species
GACGAACGCUGGCGGCGUGCUUAACACAUGCAAGUCGAACGAAGUGGCGAACGGGUGAGUAACACGUGAGUAACCUGCCUUACACAAGGGGAUAGCCUUUGGAAACGAAGAAUAAUACCCUAUAGUGUAAGAUGGACUUUCGUCGGAUUAGUUAGUUGGUGAGAUAAAGGCCCACCACGGCAACGAUCAGUAGCCGGCUUGAGGAAGGGUACGGCAACAUUGGGACUGAGACGCGGCCGAAACUCAACGAGAGGAAGCAGUGGGGAAUAUUGAACAAUGGGGGAAACCCUGAUGCAGCGAGACCGAGUGAUUUAGAAGGCCUUAGAGUUGUAAAAAACUUUUUUAUGGGCUGCAGUACCAUAAGAAUAAGGUCCGGCUAAAUACGUGCCAGCAGCCGCGGUAAUAC